rnacentral:rRNA from 1 species
AAUGACGGUACCUGACUAAGAAGCCCCGGCUAACUACGUGCCAGCAGCCGCGGUAAUACGUAGGGGGCAAGCGUUAUCCGGAAUUAUUGGGCGUAAAGGGUGCGUAGGCGGGUUAUCAAGUCUUUGGUUAAAAUGCGGUGCUCAACGCCGUAGUGCCAAAGAAACUGAUAGUCUAGAGUAUGGUAGAAGUGAGUGGAACUCCAUGUGUAGCGGUAAAAUGCGUAAAUAUAUGGAAGAACACCAGUGGCGAAGGCGGCUCACUAGGCCAAUACUGACGCUGAGACACGAAAGCGUGGGGAGCAAACAGGAUUAGAUACCCUGGUAGUCCACGCCCUAAACGAUGAGUACUAAGUGUAGCCAGAAGGCUGUGCUGAAGUUAACGCAUUAAGUACUCCGCCUGAGUAGUACGUACGCAAGUAUGAAACUUAAAGGAAUUGACGGGAUCCCGCACAAGCGGUGGAGCAUGUUGUUUAAUUCGACGAUACGCGAAGAACCUUACCAGGUCUUGACAUACUCGGCAAAUCUAUAGAGAUAUAGAGGAGGUUAACCGGGAUACAGGUGGUGCAUGGUUGUCGUCAGCUCGUGUCGUGAGAUGUUAGGUUAAGUCCUGCAACGAGCGCAACCCUUAUUGCUAGUUACCAUCAUUAAGUUGGGGACUCUAGCGAGACUGCCGGUGAUAAACCGGAGGAAGGCGGGGAUGACGUCAAAUCAUCAUGCCCUUUAUGACCUGGGCUACAAACGUGCUACAAUGGCUGACACAAAGAGAAGCGAGCUCGCGAGAGUAAGCAAACCUCAGAAAAGCAGUCUCAGUUCGGAUUGAAGUCUGCAACUCGACUUCAUGAAGUUGGAAUCGCUAGUAAUCGCGAAGCAGAGUGUCGCGGUGAAUACGUUCCCGGGAUUUGUACACACCGCCCGUCAAACCAUGAGAGUUUGUAAUACCCGAAGCCGGUGGCCGAACCGCAAGGAAGGAGCCGUCUAAGGUAGGACAGAUGAUUGGGGUUAAGUCGUAACAAGGUAUCCCUACGAGAACGUGGGGAUG